rnacentral:rRNA from 1 species
UAACAGAGAGUUCGAUCCUGGCUCAGAUUGAACGCUGGCGGGAUGCUUUACACAUGCAAGUCGAACGGCAGCACGGACUUCGGUCUGGUGGCGAGUGGCGAACGGGUGAGUAAUGUAUCGGAACGUGCCUAGUAGCGGGGGAUAACUACGCGAAAGCGCAGCUAAUACCGCAUACGCCCUUCGGGGGAAAGCGGGGACCUUCGGGCCUCGCACUAUUAGAGCGGCCGAUAUCGAUUAGCUGAAGGGAAAACGGCUCACCAUGCGACGAUCCGUAGCUGGUUUGAGAGGACGACCAGCCACACUGGACUGACAGACGACGUCCAGACUUCCACGGAGGCAGCAGUGGGGAAUUUUGGACAAUGGGGGAAACCCCCGAUCCAGCCAUCCGCGUGUGCGAUGAAGGCCUUCGGCGAAAAAGACUUUUGGCAGGAAAGAAACGGCACGGGAUAAUACCCGUGCAACUGACGGUACCUGCAGAAUAAGCACCGGCUAACCACGCGCCAGCAGCCGCGGUAAUACGUAGGGUGCAAGCGUUAACGGAAUUACUGGGCGUAAAGUGUGCGUGCAGGGCGGUUCGGAAAGAAAGAUGUGAGAUCCCAGAGCUUAACUUGGAACUGCAUUUACCACCGAGCCAGAGUGUGUCAGAGGGAGGUGGAAUUCCGCGUGUAGCAGUGAAAUGCGUAGAUAUGCGGAGGAACACCGAUGGCGAAGGCAGCCUCCUGGGAUAACACUGACGCUCAUGCACGAAAGCGUGUGGCGUAAAUGGUGAUUGAUACCCUGUAGUCCACGCCCUAAACGAUGUCAACUAGCUGUUGGGGCCUUUCGGGCCUGGUAGCGCAGCUAACGCGUGAAGUUGACCGCCUGGGGAGUACGGUCGCAAAGAUUAAAACUCCAAAGGAAUUGACGGGGACUCCGGGCACAAGCGGUGGAUGAUGUGGAUUAAUUCGAUGCAACGCGAAAAACCUUACCCACCCCCUUGACAUGUUCGGAAUCCCGAAGAGAUCGGGAGUGCUCGCAAGAGAACCGGAACACAGGUGCUGCAUGGCUGUCGUCAGCUCGUGUCGGGAGAGAUGUUGCCAAGUCCCGCAACGGCGGCAACCCUUGUCAUUAGUUGCUACGAAAGGGUAAUCAUCGAGACUGCCGGUGACAAACCGGAGUGAAGGUGGAUGACGUCAAGUCCUCAUGGCCCUUAUGUAGGGCUUCACACGUCAUACAAUGGUCGGGACAGAGGGUCGCCAACCCGCGAGGGGGAGCCAAUCCCCGUGAAACCCGAUCGUAGUCCGGAUCGCAGUCUGCAACCUCGACUGCGUGAAGUCGGAAUCGCUAGUAAUCGCGGAUCAGCAUGUCGCGGUGAAUACGUUCCCGGGUCUGUGCGCACCGCCCGUCACACCAUGGGAGUGGGUUUACCAGAAGUAGUUAGGCCUAACCGUAAGGAGGGCGAUUACCACGGUAGGAUUCAAGGAUCAGUGAAGUCGUAACAAGGUAG